rnacentral:rRNA from 1 species
AGCUUAAGCCACAACUCCCUGAGCAGGCCUGAUCUUGAUUGAUCUCAGAUGUUAAGCAGGGUCGGCCUGUUUAGUACUUGGAUUGGAAACUGCCUGGGAUGGCUUUUUGGGGUGGCUGUAGCUC